rnacentral:rRNA from 1 species
UUUUAAAUUUAGAGUUUGAUCCUGGCUCAGGACGAACGCUGGCGGCGUGCUUAACACAUGCAAGUCGAGCGAUGAAGCUUCCUUCGGGAAGUGGAUUAGCGGCGGACGGGUGAGUAACACGUGGGUAACCUGCCUCAAAGUGGGGGAUAGCCUUCCGAAAG